rnacentral:rRNA from 1 species
UACGAAGGGGGCUAGCGUUGCUCGGAAUUACUGGGCGUAAAGGGCGCGUAGGCGGGUCGUUAAGUUAGAGGUGAAAGCCCAGGGCUCAACCCUGGAAAUUGCCUUUAAUACUGGCGGCCUUGAGUAUGGCAGAGGUGUGUGGAACUCCGAGUGUAGAGGGUGAAAUUCGUAGAUAUUCGGAAGAAACACCAGUGGCGAAGGCGACACACUGGGCCAUUACUGACGCUGAGGCGCGAAAGCGUGGGGAGCAA